CCCAGACGUCAGCGCCUAUGAGUAGACAAGACAGAAAGAAGGAGAGAGAGGGGAGCAGUGCAGAGGAGAGAGAAAAGGAGCUCAAAAACAGAGCAGCUGAAUGAGAAGCUCGGGUAACAAACUACUGGGGGGACAAAGGAUUCCUCCUAGAUGAUGUAACUCUUCCAGGGCCCUGAAAUUCUGGGCCUGUCCUCGCCCCCCUACCUCCUCCAUAGACUCCACACAUCUCUCCCUCGUUGAGGCAUCUUUCUACACCCCUUUGUCGGCCCUACCGGAAUUCUGUUGCCAUGGUUAAGGAGCUGCGCCAUAGGAACAGGAUUGGGUGAUACACAUCUGCCCCUAGAAGCACCUGUUGACAUUCAGGAAAUAUCCAUCAAGAGUUAUCAAAACACACAGCCCACAAAGUCUGGGGACGGUCCAGGAUCUCACUCGAACUCAAUCCAACUCCGAACCCUGACUGGUCGCCACUGUUCCCAUUUUAGAGUCCAGAGCAAAGACAUUCAACGUUAUUGGCUUUCAUUAGUUAUGUUAUGUAGUAUGGACAGAGUAUAGUCCGUAUGGAGCUAUUGUGCGUUUAUGUAUACCUGUGCCUCAAAGUGCUGUCAUGCAUUCAAGACUGAGACUGAUUAAGAACUACAAUUGUUUCUUUCCAGGCAAUUUGGGUGGGAUUGAGGUUCUCUGGGAGCAUGGUUCAGGUUCCGAUGUGUGUAAUACAAAUUUUAAUAACAGUGUGUUUAAUCUUAGAGGGAAUUCUGGCACACAGGGCAGCAGUUCCUGAGGCAAAAUGAAGGAGCUUGAAUCUGUAGUCCAGUUGCAUCAGUCCAAAGCCUUACCCUGCAGAUAUUUAACUGCAGAGGGCUAUAAAGUGGUAACAACCAUCUUUAUUUCACUCUGAACACUAAAAGGCUGUCUUCAAAGCAUUUCAAUGAGGUUACUUAAUUUUGUAACCUGCUUUUUAUUAUGGACAAAAUGGACUGACUUGGUGUAGUUUUUCAGGGUGAGGUCAGUCUGUUUUUCAGCUAAUCGAAAACAUCAGCACCAUAUUCCUAUGGUAUAUUACAUCAUAUCAAUUUAUCUGUUCAUGCAGCACAGUGUGUAACUUUAUAUGCUAGCUGGGCUGAUGGCAAGCUGCACAAAGCAGGGAGUCUGGAUUUUUGGUUGUAAGAUCUUUGCACCCUUACCAGGGACUCUCAGCUUCCUUUGCAGCUGUGGUGUACAGUAUGUUGUUUACAUACGGGUGAAGGGUAAUUUUGUCAUGUAAGGUAUCAGUAAGGAUGCGAUCGGAUCACAAAAAGGGGUCUGGGGCUAUUCUUUACUAUGCAAACAAAACUCUGUAGAGACAGCACAAUGCCAUCUAAUCUGGAUCAAACUUUUAAGAACAAAUGCUAUGAAAAAAAACCGUCUCGGGAGAGAGGGGAGGAGGAAACUUGGCGUAGUGAGAGAGCAUCUUGAGUACAGCUGGGGCAGGGUCACUUUCAGAGCGAGCGAGAGAUUGUAAAAGGUUAUUUCUGGGCCUCCCCUCUUGUCCCCUCCCCUCACACACAAUCAUGCAUCAUCCACACCCUUCACUAUCUCCAGUCAUCUAUCUCAGGCCGCCACAGCAGGGCCUAGUCGUACAGAUCCCAUUCCCAUCGAGGCCUUCUCCCAUUCAUGAUUUCAUGUCUUACACUGGCAGAUGGGAGACGGGAGUUGCUGGGAUUGUUCUAACCGUGGCUAUCACUAUUGAGCGGAUUGCUAGGGGAAAUAGCUCUGUCUGUCUCCUUGUUGUGCUGUAGGAAGGGCAAGCCAGGGCAGCUGCAGUGUUACAGGUUAAGAGGUGAUCUGUGCGUAUUGGUAUUAACAUGACAUGUCAGCACAGUCCUCUCAUAGCUGAACACAGAAUGGAGAUUGAAGGUAAACUCAUUGCAAUGGUAUAGCCUACCCUUUUCAUUAAAAACACGUUAGAUCAAAUAUUGUGGCCUAAUUUACGAUGUGUUUACACUUAGUUCAGUAGGGAAUAAAUCAAAAGGUAGAACAAAAAUUAAGGUUAUAGACUUGCGGUAACAAAAAAUGUUGUCAAAAUUAUGUUCAAUUGAUUAGCUUUGUUGUCUUUUAAUUCCUUAGGCAAAUAACAGGUGUAAACUUUGUACAGGUGCAAAUGCCUCGUAUAUUGAAGUUUCUGGAAGAGAAAUUCUGGCCCAUUGUGUGAGAUGGUGUAGUAGUUUAAUUUACUUUGGGGGGCCCUAGCAGCACCCAAUCAAAUCGCUGCCAGUACCAUCUCCCUGAACUCCUCACUCAUCGCAAUAAUGAGGAGGGGGAGGGGCAGAGCAGGUGGUGCCCCAACAACCCAUCCACCACCCAGAGAGAGGAGGAGGAUACAAAAGCACAACUGCUUCAAUGUGUGUUUUCUAGGUAGACAAAGAAAGUAGUGCUGAUACAUUAUAUGCAACAGUAAGCCAUAACUAGAGCUCAUUUUCAGCGUGUCAUGGUUCCCAUCGAUGAAUCCAGUUUUUCAGAUAUUGCAGAAGUGGGGAGGGCAAGGGACAGGAGAUUGUCUAAGAAAUGGAUACCCAAAAAAUGUAUUUUUUGGUACUUCUAUUCUUUGACAAGAUUCAUUCAUCUUUGCCAAUGUUUAGUCAAGGUGCAGUAAAUCACACCUUCCGUUUAGCAGAAAAUAGGCCAUAUUUGAGCCAUAUUGCCCUUUUGUUUUCUGCAGGAAGUUUAAUCCUUAUUUUCUACAUGUAGCUCAUCUAUAAUUGGUUGCUUGAGGCAAUCACAGAAUUGACUAAAAGCCAUAUAUUGUAAAAAGGAACAAAAGCCAGUACAUUAAUUCCUUUCCAUUUAUGCAUUUGUAUGGUACAGAAAUGCGUUCAGUUUAACAAUUCCACAGUCCAUUGCCUAUGUGUUGAAAAUAGGCGAUCAGUACAAAAUAAAUAACAUCAUUUGGUUCAAUUAGUUAUAACAAAAGAGAUCUGGACUUAAUCAAAAGUGAGCCGCUGAACACCUGUUAUUUUUCAGCAGGUUGAAGCUUCCUUAGCCAUGAAGGACAAACGCAGAUACUUUUCUGUGGCUCGGGCAUUUCUCUUCCGAGGACAAGAUGCUUCAGCACCAAGCAGAGAGUGCAGUGACCUCCAUCAGUGUGGGGUCAUUGGGGAAAACAUGAGCAUUUUUUUCCCAUGUUGACAUGUUUUUUAACAAGGCCCUAUUGGGUGACUAGUGCUUUCAGUGUACCUUACAUGUCCUUGACAUUAGACAAUGUGCUCCCUCCAUCUUGGAGUAAAAUGGCAGCCAGGCAGCUAAGAGGGAAAUUGAUUAAAUGUGGUCUUUACAUUGUAGCAGAAUGAAGAAUGAUAGUACUUCUGGGGAAUACAGACUUUACACAGAAAUGGGAUCAGCUCCCUGCUAAGAGCGCAGCCAAACUGAAAGAGAAAUUGCUUGCAUCUUUAAAUGAUACUCCUGUGUCAAUAGCAGCUGUAUCAUCUGCAUGGGUCUUUUGUCUGGGCACAAAUACUGUGCAUUUGGAAGGUUACAUCAAACUGGUUGGGUUCCCCAGUUCGAAUUCAAACUGCAGCAUAACCAAUGAAAAACAGUCUUCUACUGAACUUGGAUUCAGAGAGUGCCAUGGGUUUGGUGCUCUUACUUGUGUGUAAGCCUUUUAGGGCUGUCCCCAAAAACAACAAAAAUUGUGGCUCUACCGAGAGUUGUCUUUCGACCAAUAUAUUGUUCAAAAUGUUAAAACAUGUAUUUUUCCCAUAUAAAAGACCCAGUGUAUUUUAAUAAAAUAAACUAUACGCACUGAGCUUGUCUGAUGCUUUAAGCUCACUGUUUGAUGAAAUCAUUUAGACACACUUAUGACUCUAAAGGGAUCCGACCGCAAAUGAAUAGAUUGCGCUGGGUCAGGUUCAGACAGCGAGUGACUGUGUGACUAGCACCAGUUGUCUCGCUCUCCUCCCUGCUGCAGCGACCACCACAGAACAUCAACAGU